ACCCUUUCAGGGUCACACCUGGGGAGUUUCCAGUACUCUUCCAGUCUCGACUACAGAAGGGAGAGUCGAGCAGAGGCCUAUCCAUUCCGUUCCUAGCUUGGGCAAUGGCUAGUGAGUGGAAGGCAAUCUGCUACAAGU